ensembl:misc_RNA 7SK 7SK RNA
GAACCUAUGAAAACAUCUGGGUGAAAUAUUGUUCCCUUCCUCCCUCACCAUUCCAUUUUCGUCCCUCCCGAUGUGUGCUUAGUCAAAGAGGAUGACGAUAGAGGAGAAUGGGUCAUUGGUCAAGGGUAUAUGGGUAGCUGCGCUCCCCUGCUAGAACCUCCAAACAAGCUCAUGGGCAUGGUGGUGCACAUCUGUAUUUCUAGCUCUUGGGAAGCAGGGACAGGAGGAUCAUGAAUCGAAG